GACUUGGUUUCAUUUAUGUUUUAGAUACUGACAUUAGGAUAUGUGCAGCUAAUUUGUUUAUUUAAGGUAAAAUCUUUACGGGGAAAAAAAAGAGAGAACCCCAUUACAGAACAGCUGGUGGUUCCACUGUUGAGAAAGAAAGAAGUGAGAAAAAGCCACUGUCAUCUCUCAGCUUCUCAUCCAUGCUGGAGGUCUUUAUACAUGGUCUCCUUACUGCGCACCUCUGUACCUGUCUCCACUCCUUUCUUCCUCCCAGUAAGGGACCUUCCAAUGGGAUACCAGGGAUCGAACUCGGGACUAAGUCA